GGAAUAUUGCACAAUGGGCGCAAGCCUGAUGCAGCAACGCCGCGUGAGUGAUGAAGGCUUUCGAGUCGUAAAGCUCUUUGAUCAGGGACGAUAAUGACGGUACCUGAAAAACAAGCCACGGCUAACUACGUGCCAGCAGCCGCGGUAAUACGUAGGUGGCGAGCGUUGUCCGGAAUUACUGGGCGUAAAGGAUGCGUAGGUGGAUAUUUAAGUGGGAUGUGAAAUCCCUGGGCUCAACCCAGGAAUGGCA
rnacentral:rRNA from 1 species